GCAGAGGUUGUGGUGAGCCGAUAUCAUGCUGUUGCACUCCAGCCUGGGCAACAAGAGCCAAACUCUGUCUCAAAAAAAAAAAAAAAAAAAAAAAAAAAAAAAAGACUUUUAACAUAUGGGUAUAUUUUGAAAUGUUUUCUAUUUAGUUUUAGGAAUUAAGGGAAUUAAGACAAAUAUAGAUUCUUCUCAAAAUCUAACGUAGAAAAUAUCACAAGUAGUUUUGGAAACUAUUUUCACCUGAAACAAUAUUUUAAUCUUGGUUCAUGGAUUGUUAUGCCUCUUGUAAAUAAAACUACAAUAGCCUGGUACGUGGUUUAUGCCUGUAAUCCCAGCAGGUCAGAUGGAUCAUCUGAGGUCAGGAGUUUGAGACGAGCCUCGCCAACACGAUGAAACCCCGUCUCUACAAAUAAUUAAAAAAAAAAAAUUAGCUGGGUGUGGUGGCACGUACCUGUAAUCCCAGCUACUUGGGAGGCUGAGGCAGGAGAAUCACUUGAACCCAGGAGGUCAAGGCUGCAGUGAGCCGAGAUCGUGCCACUCUACUCCAGCCUAGGUGACAGAGGAAGACUGUCUCAAAAAAACAAAAAAAAAAACAAAACAACAACAAAAACCUACAGUAAUAUUGAAAUAGAAGGAGGUUUGCAAUCAAAAUGACUGACUAGGAAUGAGAUAUGAAACCUAUAUUUUGCAUCUGCAUAGGGAAGUCUGAGACUGAUAGAUCUUGUUCUCUUCUGUAGGGGAAAUACUAGUCCAGAACUUGGGGUGCCUGCCAAGAUGGGAGUAGCCACAGUAAGGAGGGGGGGACUCUGGAAUGCUAGGGUUCUGGAGCCUGUGGACACAGGAGGCAGAGGACAUGUGUUAAGAUGUUUUAAGAAAUGAAUGUUGAUCUGGAUAUGAAAAUAUUUUUCAGCCGGGUGCAGUGGCUCACGUCUGUAAUCCCAGCAUUUUGGGAGGCUGAGGUGGGCGGAUCACGAGGUUAGGAGAUCGAGAACACGGUGAAACCCUGUCUCUACUAAAAAUACAAAACGUUAGCCGGGCAUGGUGGUGGAGGCCUGUAAUCCCAGUUACUCGGGAAGCUGAGGCAGGAGAAUGACGUGAACCCAGGAGACGGAGCUUGCAGUGAGCCGAGAUCGCCCCACUGCACUCCAGCCUGGGUGACAGAGGGAGACUCCGUCUCGAAAAAAAAAGAAAGAAAAUAUUUGUCACGAUAGAGAGGCAUAUGUCCCCUGAACUUGCCAGGAUCCACCUUUCCUUGCUGAUGCAUUCUGUGAGUUAGAAGAAAACUUCCGAAGAUCCGUUUUUUCCACCCUGUCUACUGUAUGAAAUUGCUUCUCAAGCAUGUGCUGCAUUGCAAAAGCUUACCAUUGUUUCACUAACCAGCGUCUGGUCUCUCUUAUGUGGCGCUAGUUGGUAUCACCUGUUGGUGAUACCCAGAGGACAGUGUCUGAAGUCCUUAUUCAAUAUUCACAUUUGGUCAGGUGAUCCACCUGCCUCGGCCUCCCAAAGUGCUGGGAUUGCCGGGCGCGGUGGCUCAAGCCUGUAAUCCCAGCCACUUGGGAGGCUGAGGCAGGAGCAUUGCUUGAACCCAGGAGGCGGGAGGUUGCAGUGAGCUGAGAUCAUGCCACUGCACUCCAGCCCGGGCAAGAGAGCGAGACUCCGUCUCAAAAAAAAAAACAAAAAACAAAAAAAAA
rnacentral:lncRNA from 1 species